rnacentral:rRNA from 1 species
UUGGAGGGCAAGUCUGGUGCCAGCAGCCGCGGUAAUUCCAGCUCCAAUAGCGUAUAUUAAGGUUGUUGCAGUUAAAAAGCUCGUAGUUGAAUUUCGGGGUUAGUAGGUUGGUCGUGCCUCCGGUAUGUUCUGGUCUCACUGAUUCCUCCUUCCUGAUGAACCGUAAUGCCAUUAAUUUGGUGUUGCGGGGAAUUUGGACUGUUACUUUGAAAAAAUUAGAGUGUUUAAAGCAAGCUAACGCUUGAAUACAUUAGCAUGGAAUAAUGAAAUAGGACGUUCGAUCCUAUUUUGUCGGUUUCUAGGAUUGACGUAAUGAUUAAUAGGGAUAGUUGGGGGCAUUAGUAUUCAAUUGUCAGAGGUGAAAUUCUUGGAUUUAUUGAAGACUAACUACUGCGAAAGCAUUUGCCAAGGACGUUUUCAUUAAUCAAGAACGAAAGUUAGGGGAUCGAAGACGAUCAGAUACCGUCGUAGUCUUAACCAUAAACUAUGCCGACUAGGGAUCGGAUGAUGCUAAUUUUUUAAUGACUCAUUCGGCGCCUUACGGGAAACCAAAGUGUUUGGGUUC